rnacentral:rRNA from 1 species
UACGUAGGGGCUAGCGUUAUCCGGAAUCACUGGGCGUAAAGGGCGCGUAGGUGGUCUGUUAAGUCUGGCGUUAAAGCCUGGGGCUCAACCCCAGAUCAGCGUUGGAUACUGGCAGGCUAGACGGCUGGAGAGGCGAGUGGAAUUACCAGUGUAGCGGUGGAAUGCGUAGAUACUGGUAGGAACACCCAUUGCGAAGGCAGCUCGCUGGACAGCACGUGACGCUGAGGCGCGAAAGUGUGGGGAGCAAACCGGAUUAGAUACCCGGGUA